rnacentral:rRNA from 1 species
GAUGAUACUAAGCCAUGCGAGUCAUUGUAGCAAUACAAGGCAGACGGCUCAGUAACGCGUAGUCAAUCUACCCUAUGGACGGGAAUAACCUCGGGAAACUGAGAAUAAUGCCCGAUAGAACAUUAUACCUGGAACGGUUUAUGUUUCAAAUGAUUUAUCGCCGUAGGAUGGGACUGCGGCCUAUCAGUUUGUUGGUGAGGUAAUGGCCCACCAAGACUAUUACAGGUACGGGCUCUGAGAGGAGUAGCCCGGAGAUGGGUACUGAGACACGGACCCAGGCCCUAUGGGGCGCAGCAGGCGAGAAAACUUUGCAAUGUGCGAAAGCACGACAAGGUUAAUCCGAGUGGUUUCUGCUAAAGAAACCUUUUGCUAGUCCUAGAAACACUAGUGAAUAAGGGGUGGGCAAGUUCUGGUGUCAGCCGCCGCGGUGAAACCAGCACCUCAAGUGGUCAGGAUGAUUAUUGGGCCUAAAGCAUCCGUAGCCCGUUUUGUAAGUUUUCGGUUAAAUCCAUACGCUCAACGUAUGGGCUGCCGGGAAUACUGCAUAGCUAGGAAGUGGGAGAGGUAGACGGUACUCGGUAGGAAGGGGUAAAAUCCUUUGAUCUAUUGAUGACCACCUGUGGCGAAGGCGGUCUACCAGAACACGUUCGACGGUGAGGGAUGAAAGCUGGGGGAGCAAACCGGAUUAGAUACCCGGGUAGUCCCAGCUGUAAACUAUGCAAACUCAGUGAUGCAUUGGCUUGUGGCCAAUGCAGUGCUGCAGGGAAGCCGUUAAGUUUGCCGCCUGGGAAGUACGUACGCAAGUAUGAAACUUAAAGGAAUUGGCGGGGGAGCACCACAAGGGGUGAAGCCUGCGGUUCAAUUGGAGU